CCGCCCGUGGCAAGCCCUAGCCGCCGCCUCCUCCCGCACUCGUGCGUCCUGCCCCUCGUGUGCGGCGCCUCCACCCAAACCCUAACCCUAGUUGCUCCCCACGCCGCCGUUGUCUCCUUCACCUAGCCUGCCGGAUCCCCGCCGUCGUCCUCGCGUGCACAUGGCAGGUGCUCCGCCUCUUCCUUCCAUCCGGCCAGACCCGCGGCGCACGAUCUCUCACGCUUGCUCGCAACCCUCAGUCGUGGCUUGGGUUUCGGGCUGGGCAUCGCCUUCGUCGCCGGCGCGGCUCUGGUGGAUUCCGACGGCACCUCUCCGUCUCCUUCCUCGCCCCCACACGCGACUGCACUUCCCGCUGGUCAUGGGGCUUGCCGGCAGCAGCGCCUCCCUCCCUCCCUGCCUGCCGCCGCCCGGAGCAGCGCCACCGACGGCUCCAUAGAAAUUCCAGCUAGGGCAUGGAACACAAGAAAGCUUGAGCAAAUCAUCAUGUGCAUGCUGAAAGGCUUAGUUAACAAGGGUGACAAUAAGAUGUGUGGACAAUUAAUUGCCAGGUUGCAGGAAUAGCUUUAUAUUAGGAGCAGCUUCUCCACCACCAUGCAGCGACAGAGGAGGUGUGCUUCUUCCCCAACACAACAUAGCGGCAACCACGGUAUCCUCUGCCCUCUCCCUCUAUCUACCCUCUUCUGUUCCUUAUCAAAAAUUCAUUUUUUUACCUUGUAUAAUACUUGUGAUUUGGACCGAUUUGUGUUUUGGGGGGCAUCAAUUUGGUGCUAACCCUGUCCAUGUGGAGAGAAAAGGACAAGAAGGGGAUAGAUGAUCAAGGAGAAGAAGAACUAGAAGAAGAAGGGCAAGGGAGGUGGAGCGAUAUGAAUUUCCAAGGAGGCUAUAGAAAACCAAUUAGUGUCGGCUGCCUUGAAGGGAGCCACAAGGAAGAGAGAGAUCAUUGUACAUGACCUGAAGAUGAUAAGGCGCCACUUCCACGACGAUAUCAACAUCGCCGUGGUCUGUCUUCAACGGCACCUGGGGCGACAUCAGAUCAUGGUCGUGGAGCAGCAACUGCAGCAGUGACCCUGCCAUGGCGGCGAUAUGGACGGCAUCACCAUAACCACAUUAAUGGUCCAAGCAUGAGGUCUCCGCCGGAUGACGGCCACCCCCGCCCCCCUCUCUGCGCGCGCGUCCAGGUCGUUGUUUCUUUUGGUGUUACCCUGCGUUCAAAGGGAUCAAGAUGGUGCCUUUCUUUGGGUCUGCAUUUCGUCUACUACUUCUCCCACCCAGCAGGUAGCAACAUGUGUUGAGCAAUGACAUAGACAACAUUUUCCCUUUUUAGUAGUGAUUUGAUGCACCAAUAAAUAGAUGUUUCUACUAUCUCAGAAAGUUUUAGCUGAUGGAUAUCUGCUGGAGAAAUAUUAGUCAUUUUGUUGAGCAUGGCUAGAGUCGUAUUGACACAUCCAUGUGAGAGGGGAUCGAAACUUUGCUUUAUGCAUGUUAUUGUCCUUCAGUAAAGUUUUUUAGCUCAAUGGAAGCGUUUGUCCUUGGUGAUGCCAACCUUGGUGGGAUAUUUUUUGUCAUGUAAACGCCUAAUAUUUGUACAUGGUUAUGUCCACCUUCAACGGAAGGCACAUAGAUCCCCAUUUGUGGUUUCAGCUUUACGGGAAGUUUUUAGUCUUAUAGGACUAAUGCUUAUAGUUUAUUUUCAAGUAUUUCUACUGCUCGGCUUAUUUUUAAACUAUAGUUUGGUUGAUGAACUAUUUCUAUUGAUAAGCUCAUUUUAAAAAUAUAGUUUGGUUGGUGAAGUUGCCUACUAUAUCACUUAUCGCGUAGAAAGGUUUUUGUUUCUUUCUUCAUCUCAAUAUUAGCCAUUUCAGUAUAUGUCCAUUGUUCAUUAUAUUUCUGAAGCGGCAUUUUUUAUUAGCAGUCCUAAUUAUGUGUCUCUGUUUAUAUUAUAUAUGUAAAGGCAAGAAUCAAACAAUUUUAUUUAUGUGCCUAUGUUUGUAGAUUGGUAAAUCAUACUUCAGUUGUAUUGACCUGCAAUAAUAGUUCUAUGAUUAGAGCUUAUAGUUUAUUGUCAACUACUUUACUGAUGACACUUUUUUUAUUUACAUUGUGAGUUGCUGGUGUUGCUUCCUGUUGGACAUAGCUCGUUCUCCAGUCUCCACCUUCGAUUUGUGACACAGAUUGGUUUAUUGUGAUGUUGCUUUGAACAAGGAAUGGGUGAUGCUAUACCACUAGGAUUGUGUCAUCACCACAUACAUAAUUAGUCCCAGGAAAAAUAUAAAGCAUACCAAGGUGUGCUUGGUCUGCAGUGACGACCUUUGGGCCAACAACACAUGGACAUUUCACAGAUAAACUAUUGCAUCAGGCUAAAACAACAGAGUUUGGUUUGAGGUGCUCUCACAAGAUAUCAGAAAUUUGCUUGGCGAAGAUCUGGGACACUCGGGUACAUUAGACCCACGAGGCAACGCGACGGAGGCCAUGCACUCAAGUGGGAGGCGGAGCUCGCCUCCCCCAAUGACGACGGCUUCGACCUCAAGUGGAAGUGGGAGGCCAAGUCCAAGCCAUGCGCUGCCGGCAAGGUCGAAACCAAGUGGGGCGCCGAGGAAGCCAACAAGGAUGACAAUAAUCCGGCAAGAAAGUGCGUCCAGAUCAAGGAGAUCUCCACCGGCUGCGACGUCCAAAUAGAGGUACUCGACAGAAAUUUGAAAUUGUUGUGAUGAAAUAUGGGAUUUCCAGUGCUCCAGUAGCUAAAUGAUGAAAUGUGGGAGUAGAUUCAAGAGAAAGAUUGCAGUAACUUACUCCAGUAGCUUAGAUGGAACUUCGCUGUUUUGGAAUUUCCAGUAGCUUAAGUAUUGCAGUAGAUUUCCAAUAAAAUCUUGCCCGAGUGAUGUUUGCUUGGUUCCUAUGAAUCUUAAUCUUGAAUGUGUGUCUCUGAAUCUUAAUCUGAUGGGUGCUACUAUGAAUAAGGUUAGUUGUUGUUGAUUA